rnacentral:rRNA from 1 species
GAUGAACGCUGGCGGCGUGCCUAAUACAUGCAAGUCGAGCGAACGGACGAGAAGCUUGCUUUUCUGAUGUUAGCGGCGGACGGGUGAGUAACACGUGGAUAACCUACCUAUAAGACUGGGAUAACUUCGGGAAACCGGAGCUAAUACCGGAUAAUAUUUUGAACCGCAUGGUUCAAAAGUGAAAGACGGUCUUGCUGUCACUUAUAGAUGGAUCCGCGCUGCAUUAGCUAGUUGGUAAGGUAACGGCUUACCAAGGCAACGAUGCAUAGCCGACCUGAGAGGGGGUACGGCCAAACGGGAACUGGGGACCGGUCCAGGCUCCUACGGGAGGCAGCAGGAGGGAAUCUUCCGCAAUGGGCGAAAGCCUGACGGAGCAAAGCCGCGUGAGUGAAGAAGGUCUUCGGGUCGUAAAACUCUGUUAUUAGGGAAGAACAUAUGUGUAAGUAACUGUGCACAUCUUGACGGUACCUAAUCAAAAAGCCACGGCUAACUACGUG